rnacentral:sRNA from 1 species
GAAUGGCUGAGACGAGGUUGAUCUGGCGUUGCUUGGGGUUGGUUCCACACCCAUGUAUGAUGUACUGCCCAUGCUUGUCACUCCUAUGUCGCCGGCUCAGCCAAAGCCCAGCCAGGGAUGGCGCAAAACAGUCGAUCAGAGACUGCCAGGCUAGUCAAUCAAUACGAUGAUCCUGAUACGUUGAUGUAAUUUGAUACGCUGAUCUCGAAUCUCUUCUCUUUUUUUAACAGUGGCCGGGAAUGGAAAGGGGAAAAAUGAAGGAUAAUAAUAGCAAAGCCGCGGUUCCGAACUUCGAAGUCCACGCCAAAGCAAGUCUCUUCCCCGCAAUUGCAUGGUUUAACAUUGGUUUAGCAUUUCUAGAGGCAACGACGGUGUCCAGACUACGGGGACAUCAUCAAUAACAUAACAACGAACUCUCCAGGUUAGUUAAUGUGUGUAUGCACAUGCAUGCUGGAAAUUGAAUGUCGGGUGAACAGUUAAUUCCCAAGAUCAGCAGGUGAUCCUUGCAGCCAUCCCAACUGCAAUUCGGUCGCACACAACCCCUCCUCCUCCUCCUGCAAGGCUACAUACAUCCAUACUCGGGGCAGAACAAGCCGUUGGAUAAAAUCUCACCGAAGCCCCUUGAAGCCAUCGUUAGAGUUUGAGUUUUCGAUCUCAAAUUAAGGCUCGUCAUCCAACGGAUCUCCGUUUAGCUUUUUAUAAUUAUCCACCACCAUUUUUAAUCCCGUUUGUUUCAACAGUUGCACUGCAUACCGCUCUGCCGUCAAAGGAUACCUACCUGUGCACCCUAUCAUCAAGUCGAUGGAAAGACUCGAAAACAAACAACUGGCGAUGAUUCAAUGGAGGUGUUUUUUGCUCUUGGCACACUUCACCUUUUCUGCCUGCCGCUUUCCAGGUAUCCUGUGUGUGUACCAGGGCCGUGCCUUGGUUAAGCGGUGAAGCUGUUGCACACUAAAGGAUACUUUUACACUCAACGAUUUGAAAGGGCGGAGCAGCGCGUGCUCGUAGGUUUGGUAGCUCGCGAUGCAUUGUUAAUGAGAAAAAAAAAAAAAAAAAAAAAGGCAAUGAAGGGCGGAGCAACCCGAUUCCUACUGUAACAACAUCUGUAAUAAUAAGGAAUAAAUAACCCUAUGCAAGUAUAAGGCCCAGCUCCGCCAAGGAGGGUUUCUCUUACCUUACUAGGUUCAGGGAACAUUCUAUCUCAAUUCAAAUAUGAGUCGAACGUUAGGGUUUCUCUGCGCCACUUCAUUUGAAUUUUUGGAAAACUCAAUGGGUUUUUUUUUUUUUGAUUCUUCUCGAAACCUUCUGUCCCGGCCAAGGAAUCAUAGAUGAUGCAUCAAUGUUUCAGCAGAAUCAUCCUACCCAACGAAUAUUUAACUUCCCAAUUACGCCACCAAGUUUCAAAUUUAUACACAUACCCAAAACUGUGUCGUGAUAUCAUGCGCUUCUAUUCUGGUAGUUUGUAAGGGAGUUUUGGCCUACGUCCUAGAGUCCUAUAGGGUAUGUAAGUUCGUAAGGUCAUCGCACAAAUCAAACAUACGAAAGAAAAAAAA